AUGGUUCUGCUUGGCAACAGAGGGACACCUCCAGACCCCACAGGGACCCCUUCACUGAAAAAGGGAGAACGGGGACAGUGACUAGCUUCCCCAGGCUCCAGGGCACUGCAUCAGAACCCGCUUGCGUUCUGCGCCCCCCACCCCGGAGACUGGUGGAGCAGAGCUGCCCAGGAACCGCUGGGAACAGGCAAGAAAGCGGAGCCCGCGGUACCAGUCACACACAGCGCGGGAGCAGCCCCAGUUCCCCAGGAGCCUGCUCUGCAAAGGCCUUCAACAGCUUUCUGCUGAGGACCUCAGCAGCCCUGGCAGGGCUCAGAAACCGGCAGCUUUCAUCAUUAAGAACCUCGCCUUGGAAGGCGGACAACACCAGCAGUUUGUGCCACCAAGGCAAUCAAUACCCAGCCGACCCACCACGGACGUCUGCAACUUUGGGGUAGGAGGGCUCCCCAGGUUUUCAUUUGUUUGCGGUUAGUACCUGCCAGGGUAUCUGCCUGCUCCACUCCUCCUCUUCCACUCCAGCAGCCCAAGCCAAAGCCACAGAAGACGGACGCCCUGGGGCCAGGAUGCGCCCAGACCGCUGUCCUCGCAGCUAGCUAGGGCUUUGGCUGUCAGCCCCUUAAGCUCUUACAGCUGCUCGGUACCCGGAUGUGUUGGGCUGUCCCCUUGCUGCGCCCACCUCCACGCGCAUGCCCAACAACUAACUCGUGCAGCGCCCACACAACAAAAGUGCGCGCCAACAGCCAACCUCCCUGCAGGUGUUCCUGGUCCCAAGUCUGGUGGUGACUCUUGUCACUAGCCUGCGGUGUUGUGGGUGCCCACAGAUAGCACCUGUAGGUCUGCAUCUGCAUACAAUAGGCCCUGACUCAGGUCCCAGGCCUCCACUGCACACGCCUGCCGCUAAUCCGUGCAGACUCAGGAGUACACGGCAACUUCCAGAGCCGGACUGCAACUGUUGCGCCUGGAUCUAAUCGCCACUCGUGGUUGCUUCCUAACUGGUCCCUGUGCACGGAGGACAAGAAGAGACGGAAGACAAAGGCAGAGCACUUCAGACUGAUAAGGAGUUUGAAGAUCAGAGUAAAUCAUUUGUUCUUAGGCAUCCAACUUGUGGGUGAAUGCUUGAAGUCCUAGAAGACAGCUCCAUCUGCCAAAAAAUAUCAGAUAUAUUUCUCUACACCCCACUUCUUAAGAAGAAAUGGAAGCCCUGUUUUCAUGAGAAUGUCCUAAAGGGCAAUUAAAAGAACACCUUGGCUCCUAUCUUCUUACGUAAAUGAAUAAGGAAUGUGGGCCUAUGCUUGAUUAUCACAGGAGAUAGAAAUCUGCAUAUUUUGCUGCUGACUGCUCUUGAAAGACCUGAAGUGGUUUAAGUUCAAGCCUUCCACCCGAUGUCAUUGAAGAGCCAUUCACCGUGUGUGGAGCUCAGUGGUUGUUUCCUGAAGUACAUCCUCACUGUGACUGUAGACUCUGCUGUAUUGCCUUUGGAUCCCAGGACGAAUGGCACCAUCCCAGUUGAAUGCCACUCUCCCCUCUUCAGCGAGAAUAUGAAAUGACAAUGCUAAGUAUGACAACAAUGACAGCUUUUUUGCCUCAUCAUCUCUGACUAGUGCCAAAUAGCCCAUGUCUAAGCCAUCACCACCCACCAGUAACACCCUGGCCAGUCUGUGAUCAUUUCUGACCUUCUGGCCUCCUGUCUUGCCUGCCCACUGCCAGCUUCCGGCCCUCUUGCCUCACACAUCGCCCUCCACAGAGAUUCCAAGGAAGAAGAGGAAGCCACUAAUGAACUCCUGAUGGGGCCCCUAAUCUGCUAAAGUUUAGAGACACAGAACAGUCAAAAGCCAGAGGAAAUCAGAUUCAAGGUAAGAAGAGACGACUGUAACCCCAGUCAGUUUCAUGAUCUGUAAAUGGUGACCGUGAUACACACCUCUUGCCACCAGGUGCCAAGGUGAAACGAUGACAUAUAUUAAGCCCACCAUCACAUAGUGCUAAGAAUAGAAGUUUCAUAACUGGUAGCCCAGCCUUCCUUCUGUGAGGAUGAUGUCUUACCCUCUCUGUCUGGAAUAGUCUUGAUGAUAUAUUUUAAAUUGGAUUGCUUCAUUUUUUAUUAUUGAGUUGUAGGAGUUCUUUAUAUAU